UCGGCAACGGAUAUCUCGGCUCUCGCAUCGAUGAAGAACGUAGCAAAAUGCGAUACUUGGUGUGAAUUGCAGAAUCCCGUGAACCAUCGAGUCUUUGAACGCAAGUUGCGCCCGAAGCCUUUUGGUUGAGGGCACGUCUGCCUGGGUGUCACACAACGUCG
rnacentral:rRNA from 1 species